UCGCUUUGGCAGCACAUAUACUAAAAAAUUAGAAUGAUACAGAGAAGAUUAGCAUCGCCCCUGUGCAAGGAUAACAUGCAAAUUCAUGAAGCAUUCCAUAUUUAG
ensembl:snRNA U6 U6 spliceosomal RNA